CUGAGUUUAUAGAGUUUGUUUCUUACUGUAAUUAAAUUCCUGAGUUUGUUUCUUUUUAUUUUAUGGAGUUAAGGAUCAUAUCAUAUCAUUAUCGUUAUUUUACUGCUACACAUAUUAAAUGUUUGUCCGUACCACAAAACUAUGUGAAAUAUAAUCAUGCUAUGUCAAUUGCAGUUUCUGACAAAGAAUGGAAUUUACGACUUUUGGAACUGGUUUGACGAUCGGACGUGGUAUCCCCUUGGACGAGUGAUUGGUGGACCUGUUUAGUGUUUACCUUGGACUGACGUUGACUGCUGGCACCUUGUGGUGGACACUCAAUUGCUUGAAUAUUCAUCUUUCUGUGGAAACUUCUUGUGUCUUUACUGCUCCUACAUUCUCCGCUCUUGCUUCUUGGGCAACAUACCUUCUGACAAAGG